AUUGAACGCUGGCGGCAGGCCUAACACAUGCAAGUCGAACGGUAACAGGAAGCUGCUUGCUGCUUCGCUGACGAGUGGCGGACGGGUGAGUAAUGUCUGGGAAGCUGCCUGCUGGAGGGGGAUAACUACUGGAAACGGUAGCUAAUACCGCAUAAUGUCGCAAGACCAAAGAGGGGGACCUUCGGGCCUCUUGCCAUCUGAUGUGCCCAGAUGGGAUUAGCUUGUUGGUGGGGUAACGGCUCACCAAGGCGACGAUCCCUAGCUGGUCUGAGAGGAUGACCAGCCACACUGGAACUGAGACACGGUCCAGACUCCUACGGGAGGCAGCAGUGGGGAAUAUUGCACAAUGGGCGCAAGCCUGAUGCAGCCAUGCCGCGUGUAUGAAGAAGGCCUUCGGGUUGUAAAGUACUUUCAGCGGGGAGGAAGGGAGUAAAGUUAAUACCUUUGCUCAUUGACGUUACCCGCAGAAGAAGCACCGGCUAACUCCGUG
rnacentral:rRNA from 1 species